UUUUUUUUCAUAUUGAGGAAAGUUCUCCCAAGUUGAUAGUAAAUGACUAUUUCCACAAUCAGCCUCUUCCUCCAAUCCCAUGCUUUAAACUUCAUCUCAAAAUCUCCACAAAUUUGGGAGGUAGAAUUAGAAAUGGUACUCAGUCCUUUGUGUAUAUCAAUAGUACUUUUUAAAAAGAAAACACAUCAAUAUAAAUUGAAUUGUUAGGUAUAAAAAAGAAAGUUCUGCAAAUGGAAGGGGGAAAAAGCAGCUAAAUGUAUGCUUAAAGAGAUUUGUUGUGUCAGUACAUCUUUACUUUUUGAUUGGUAAACUUUUACAAAGAGACAUGGUUCUCCCAAUCCAAGCAAAGUUAAGUGUGACUUAAGUAGUAGAUUAGAGGGGAGAAAACUAACUUUCACGGAGUAUCUCAUAUGUGCCAGGCACCAUUCUUGGCAUUUUUUGGUAUGAAUUUCCCCAUUUAACUCCCAUUGUGAACCUAUGGAACUGAUGUUAUUCUCAUUUUUCAGAUGAGGAAACUGAGACUCAACAAGGUUAAAAAAAACUUCUCAGGGUUGUUUGGCAAGUGGGAGAACUAGGCUUGAAGAUAGAUUUGUCUUAGUUCAACACCCAUGCAUACACUUCAGAUUAAGUUAAUCGGACUUGGCAUUGCUCAAAAAGAUUGCAUUUAGCUAUUUGAUCCUCUAACUUGUCAAGACCAGGAAAUGCCUUUUCUUUCAAGGUAGGACACCUUUAGCAGCACGAACCAUCUUUAUUUGGCAUUUUUUACAAAUUGUAAGCUGGAGAUAUUUGAACUUGGAAAUGGAACUGAAAUGUCCUUGAGGCACUAGAGCAGUGACUCAAAAAGAUUCCUGUACAAAGGUGGAACAAGACUAAAAUUAUUCCCACUCUACUCGCUUUGUCUUUGUCCAUCCUUUUGAUGAAGAGAGGAGUUCCAAAACAUAAUGCAUCAAAGUUACAUUGUGAGAGAUGAACUACAUUUGCAAAAAG